GAUGAACGCUGGCGGCAUGCCUAAGACAUGCAAGUCGAACGAAGUGAACCAAUGAAAAUAGAGUGCUUGCACAAAGUUGGAUUUGGAUUCUUCACUGAGUGGCAAACGGGUGAGUAACACGUGGGUUACCUACCUCUAAGACGGGGACAACAGUUGGAAACGAUUGCUAAUACCGGAUGUGAUCUGUGGAUUAAAGAAGCCUUUAAAGCUUCGCUUAGAGAUGGGCCUGCGGUGCAUUAGCUAGUUGGUGGGGUAAUGGCCCCACCAAGGCGACGAUGCAUAGCCGAACUGAGAGGUUGAUCGGCCACAUUGGGACUGAGACAC
rnacentral:rRNA from 1 species